rnacentral:rRNA from 1 species
UACGAAGGGGGCUAGCGUUGCUCGGAAUCACUGGGCGUAAAGCGCACGUAGGCGGAUUGCUAAGUCAGGGGUGAAAUCCUGGAGCUCAACUCCAGAACUGCCUUUGAUACUGGACGACUUGAGUUCGGGAGAGGUGAGUGGAACUGCGAGUGUAGAGGUGAAAUUCGUAGAUAUUCGCAAGAACACCAGUGGCGAAGGCGGCUCACUGGCCCGAUACUGACGCUGAGGCACGAAAGCGUGGGAAGCAAACAGG